CGCAGCCGCGGUAAUUCCAGCUCCAAUAGCGUAUAUUAAAGUUGUUGCAGUUAAAAAGCUCGUAGUUGAAUUUCGGGAUCAAUAUAGCGGUCAUGCCGUUGGUAUGCACUGUUAUAAUUGAUUUUUCACCUUCUAAAGAACCGUAAUGCCAUUAAUUUGGUGUCACGGGGAAUUAGGACUGUUACCUUGAAAAAAUUAGAGUGUUUAAAGCAGGCUCACGCUUGAAUACAUUAGCACGGAAUAAUGAAAUAGGACAUCCGAUUCUAUUUUGUUGGUUUCUAGGAUCGAUGUAAUGAUUAAUAGGGAUAGUUGGGGGCAUUAGUAUUCAAUUGUCAGAGGUGAAAUUCUUGGAUUUAUUGAAGACUAACUACUGCGAAAGCAUUUGCCAAGGAUGUUUUCAUUAAUCAAGAACGAAAGUUAGGGAUCGAAGACGAUCAGAUACCGUCGUAGUCUUAACCAUAAACUAUGCCGACUAGGGAUCGGAUGAUGUUAAUUUUUAAUGUACUCAUUCGGCGCCUUA
rnacentral:rRNA from 1 species